rnacentral:ncRNA from 1 species
AGCAGCUCUGGAGAAUCCCGAUAAGGGUGCCGAAGGUGCAACGGAGUCAUCUCCCGAAUCUCUCAGGCAAAAGGACAGAGUUU